rnacentral:rRNA from 1 species
GAUUAGGUAGUUGGUGUUGGGUAAAAGCCUACCAAGCCUAUGAUCCUUAGCUGUUCUGAGAGGUUGUACAGCCACACUGGGACUGAGACAAGGCCCAGGCUCCAUUCGGAGCCAGCAGUGAGGAAUUUUGGACAAUGAGCGAAAGCUUGAUCCAGCAAUACUACAUGAGUGAUGAAGGCUUUCAAGUUGUAAAACUCUUUGGUUGAGGAGGAUAAUGACAGUACUCAACAAAAUAGCCCCGGCUAACUUCGUGCCAGCAGCCGCGGUAAGACGAAGGGGGCGAGCGUUAUCCGGAAUGACUGGGCGUAAAGGGUCCGUAGGCAGCAUUUUUUGUUAGAGGUAAAGAAAAAAGCUUAACUUUUUUUGGCUUCUAAAACGUAAAUGCUUUGAGUUUGAAAGGGGAUAGCAGAAUUUCACAUGGAGGGGUGAUAUCCGUAGAUAUGUGAAGGAAUACCGGAGGCGAAGGCGGCUAUCCAGUUCAAUACUGACGUUGAGGGACGAAAGCAUGGGGAGCAAACAGGAUUAGAUACCCUGGUAGUCCAUGCCCUAAAAGAUGAGUGCUCGUGCUUAGAGAUUUUUAGGCACUUAGUUAACACGUUAAGCACUCCGCCUGGGGAGUACGACCGCAAGGUUGGAACUCAAAGGAAUUGACGGGGGCCUAUACAAGUGGUGGAGCAUGUGGUUUAAUGCGACAAUACGCGCGAAACCUUACCAGUUCUUGACAUAAAAAGGAAAGACUCCGAGAGGAUGAUUUUAAGGAUUUUUACAGGUGCUGCAUGGCUGUCGUCAGCUCGUGUCGUGAGAUGUUAGGUUAACUCCUUUUAACGGGCGAAACCCCUGUUUUUAGUUGCUAUUUAGAUUUUGUUCUAAAGCACUCUAAAAAGACAGCCCCUUAUUUUUAAUUUGGGGAGGAAGAUGGGGAUGACGUCAAGUCCUUAUGGCCCUUAUGAACUGGGCUACACACGUGCUACAAUGGUAAAGACAGAAGGAAGCAAUAGGGUAACCUGGAGCCAAUCCCUAAACUUUGCCAAAGUUCAGAUUGUGGACUGCAACUCGUCCACAUGAAGGUGGAAUCACUAGUAAUCGCACAUCAGAAUGUUGCGGUGAAUUUGUACCUAGGCCUUGCACUCACCGCCCGUCA